UCUUGGUCAUUUAGAGGAAGUAAAAGUCGUAACAAGGUUUCCGUAGGUGAACCUGCGGAAGGAUCAUUACCGAGUGCGGGCCCUCGUGGCCCAACCUCCCACCCUUGUCUCUAUACACCUGUUGCUUUGGCGGGCCCACCGGGGCCACCUGGUCGCCGGGGGACAUCUGUCCCCGGGCCCGCGCCCGCCGAAGCGCUCUGUGAACCCUGAUGAAGAUGGGCUGUCUGAGUACUAUGAAAAUUGUCAAAACUUUCAACAAUGGAUCUCUUGGUUCCGGCAUCGAUGAAGAACGCAGCGAAAUGCGAUAAGUAAUGUGAAUUGCAGAAUUCCGUGAAUCAUCGAAUCUUUGAACGCACAUUGCGCCCCCUGGCAUUCCGGGGGGCAUGCCUGUCCGAGCGUCAUUUCUGCCCUCAAGCACGGCUUGUGUGUUGGGUGCGGUCCCCCCGGGGACCUGCCCGAAAGGCAGCGGCGACGUCCGUCUGGUCCUCGAGCGUAUGGGGCUUUGUCACUCGCUCGGGAAGGACUGGCGGGGGUUGGUCACCACCAAAAUUUUACCACGGUUGACCUCGGAUCAGGUAGGAGUUACCCGCUGAACUUAAGCAUAUCAAUAAGCGGAGGAA
rnacentral:rRNA from 1 species